GACGAACGCUGGCGGCGUGCUUAACACAUGCAAGUCGAACGAUGAAGCCUAGCUUGCUAGGUGGAUUAGUGGCGAACGGGUGAGUAAUACGUGAGUGACCUACCUUUGACUCUGGGAUAAGCCUGGGAAACUGGGUCUAAUACCGGAUACGACCAAUCUCCGCAUGGGGUGUUGGUGGAAAGCGUUAUGGAGUGGUUUUAGAUGGGCUCACGGCCUAUCAGCUUGUUGGUGAGGUAAUGGCUUACCAAGGCGACGACGGGUAGCCGGCCUGAGAGGGUGACCGGCCACACUGGGACUGAGACACGGCCCAGACUCCUACGGGAGGCAGCAGUGGGGAAUAUUGCACAAUGGGCGCAAGCCUGAUGCAGCGACGCCGCGUGAGGGAUGACGGGCCUUUCGGGGUGUAAAACCCUCCUGUUAAG
rnacentral:rRNA from 1 species